AUGGAUCCUUCCCCGGUCGGCCAGGAAGCACGUCGGUUGUGCGCAGUGACCGGCGGCCGGGGAUUCAUGGCGAGGCACCUGGUCGCGGCGCUGCUCCGCUCCGGAGAUUGGCACGUGCGGAUCACUGACCUCGGCCCCGAUGUCGCCAUGGAGCCCGACGAGGAUGAUGGGCUCCUUGGCGCCGCUCUGCGUGACGGCCGCGCCACCUACAUCUCUGUCGACGUCUGCCAAUUGGCCCAGCUCACACAAGCUCUGGAAGGAGUAGAUACUGUUUUCCACACUGCUACUGCGGAUCAAAUCAAGAACAACUUCAACCUCCAUUACAAGGUCAACGUCGAGGGGACAAAGAAUGUCAUCGAGGCUUGUAACAAAUGCAAGGUUAAGACACUCAUAUACACUAGUUCCAGUGGAGUUGUAUUCGAUGGAGUUCAUGGCCUCUUUGGGGCAGAUGAAUCAACACCAUAUCCAGAUAAGUUUCCUGAUGCAUACACACAAACCAAGGCAGAAGCGGAAAAGCUGGUGAUGAGAGCCAAUGGAAUAGAUGAGCUUCUCACUUGUUGUAUACGUCCUGGCUCCAUCUUUGGCCCUGGUGACACACUAGUGCCAACUUUAGUUUCUUACGGAGGAAUGAUGAUCAUUGUUGGUGAUGGCAAGAAUUGUGAUGAUUUUGUAUAUGUUGAGAAUGUGGUGCAUGCUCAUAUAUGUGCCGAGAAAACCCUUUCUACGAAAGACGGUGCAAAGAGAAGUGGAGGCAAAACCUACUUUAUAACUAAUAUGGAGCCAGUGAAUAUGUGGGACUUUAUUUACAUGGUUUUGGAAGAACUUGGAUACAAAAGCCGUUUCAGAUUAAGAAUACCUCUAUGCCUUCUGGAGCCAAUAACAUUUGUGGUAAACUGGAGCUAUAAUAAUAUAUUCUCGCACUAUGGAAUGCGUCAACCUGGCAUGCUAACAUCCACAAGAAUUAAGUAUGCGACCCUCAAUAGAACAUUCAAGUGCAACAAUGCUGUUGAACAACUUGGUUACAAAGCAAUAGUCUCACUCAAGGUUGUUACUUUAAUUUUUCUUUGUUCAAUUUCUAUACUUAGUAUUUUCUUUCUCUAA
rnacentral:rRNA from 1 species